AUGUUUCCCGAGAGAGACUGCCUUCUCUCAGGCCAGCAGUCUUAUGCUUAUAGUCGACUGCUCUAUGACAAUCUGACCUCUUUCCUGGGCUCUGCUUGCUUGUCUACGCUCCGACCAAUUCAGUCAAAAUCGAAAAAACUAGUAACGUUAGCCGGUUUCCAGUUCGUUACCUGA
rnacentral:rRNA from 1 species